UGCAUCGAUGAAGAACGCAGCGAAAUGCGAUACGUAGUGUGAAUUGCAGAAUUCCGCGAAUCAUCGAGUCUUUGAACGCAAGUUGCGCCCGAGGCUUGUCCGAGGGCAUUUCCGCUAGAGCGUCACCGCGCCCCCCCACCGAUCCAAACUCCCGCCGCRAGGCGYUAGUUGGCUAAGGGUCGAGUGGAAGUGGCCGUCCCGGCGCUAGUUGGCUAAGGGUCGGCUGAAAUGGACGGAAUCGGGCCGCCGUGGUGACACAGUCCGCGAUCGGGUGAUUUUUGUCGCGAGCCUCCUGCCUGCGGGAGGUUCGCCGUGAAUUUUUCUAAGUGCGUGACUGCGUCCCCCAGUUGGCCUUGGUUACCUCACGCAGGUCGAGCGCGCCCCCGCGGCGCGCGUCACGCAUCAGACCUCUAAUCGGAAAAGACUACCCGCUGAGUUUAAGCAUAUCAAUAAGCGGAGGA
rnacentral:rRNA from 1 species